rnacentral:tRNA from 1 species
GCCUUCGUGGUGUAAAGGUCAGCACACUGAGCCGGUAUUUCAGAGGUCCGUGGUUCGAUUCCCGGCGAAGGAA